rnacentral:rRNA from 1 species
GAUGAACGCUGGCGGCAUGCCUAACACAUGCAAGUCGAUCGGUAAGGCUCUUCGGAGUACACGAGAGGCGGACGGCUGAGUAACGCGUAGGAACACACCCUGCAGUGAGGGAUAAGACACCGAAAGGUGUUCUAAUACCGCAUACGGUCUUCGGAUUAAAGCAUUUAUGCGCUGAAGGAGUGGCCUGCGUCAUAUUAGAUAGUUGGUGAGGUAAUGGCUCACCAAGUCGAUGAUGUGUAGCUGGUCUGAGAGGAUGAUCAGCCAGACUGGAACUGAGACACGGUCCAGACUCCUACGGGGGGCAGCAGUGAGGAAUAUUUCACAAUGAGCGAAAGCUUGAUGGAGCAAUGCCGCGUGCAGGAUGAAGGCCCUCGGGUUGUAAACUGCUUUUAUAAGAGAAGAUUAUGACGGUAACUUAUGAAUAAGGGACGGCUAACUACGUG